rnacentral:rRNA from 1 species
UACAGAGGGUGCGAGCGUUAAUCGGAAUUACUGGGCGUAAAGCGCACGUAGGUGGCUUUGCAAGUCGAUUGUGAAAUCCCCGGGCUUAACCUGGGAACUGCAGUCGAGACUGCUUUGCUUGAGUAUGGGAGAGGGAGGUGGAAUUUCCGGUGUAGCGGUGAAAUGCGUAGAUAUCGGAAGGAACAUCAGUGGCGAAGGCGACCUCCUGAACCAAUACUGACACUCAAGUGCGAAAGCGUGGGGAGCAAACAGG